UUCGACGGCCUGGGGUGCCGCGCUGCCGCGGCUGAGAUCAUACCCAUGGAACCUGUCUGGGUCAUUCCAGCGAAGGGAGCCGCCGCUUGCCGAA
rnacentral:ncRNA from 2 species